UACGAAGGGGGCUAGCGUUGUUCGGAAUUACUGGGCGUAAAGCGCACGUAGGCGGACAUUUUAAGUCAGGGGUGAAAUCCCAGAGCUCAACUCUGGAACUGCCUUUGAUACUGGGGUGUCUUGAGUAUGGAAGAGGUGAGUGGAAUUCCGAGUGUAGAGGUGAAAUUCGUAGAUAUUCGGAGGAACACCAGUGGCGAAGGCGGCUCACUGGUCCAUUACUGACGCUGAGGUGCGAAAGCGUGGGGAGCAAACAGG
rnacentral:rRNA from 1 species